rnacentral:hammerhead_ribozyme from 1 species
AUACAACUGAUGAGUCCCAAACAGGACGAAAUGCGCGCUAUCCUGGAU